GUCAGCUACGGUCUGGGAACGUGGAGGAGGGAGGAGAGAAGCGCUGAAUGGAAAGAUUGGCGCGAGCGCUGAGCAUCUUGGUCCCCCAGUCUACCGGCCCGGGCAGCAGCGUACCAGGGAAGGACGAAAUUGAUUGAAACCCGGAAAUGAGUGUAAAUGGAACUGAAGGAAAACGAGGGAAAUUCGCAGCACCUUUAUACCCCGCACACCAGCUCAUUUCCUGGGACUAAAAUAGCUACAAGAACUCUGCAGACCACAGAGGAAAGCAACAGGUUACCCUGCAUUUGGAAUUUAUGGAGCUGGAAAGGGAACGCCAAGUAGGGAAGGGCUGGUAGAAGACCAAAGAUACACUGUGCUUACUGUGCACAGAGAUAAAUUUGCCAUGGUUGGUUCCAGAAAAAAUCACCUUAUGUAGAAAAGAUGGUUGCCUGGCAUGGUGACCCACAUUUGUAAUCCCAGCACUCCGGAGGCUGAGACUCACUAAACUGCCCAAUCUGGGCUUGCCUUUGUGAUCCUCCUGCCUCAGCCUCCCAGAGCGCUUGGACUACAGAAAUAGAUGAGUACACUGGCCUCCCUGAAAGGACUGCACUCCUCUGUGUGCCAGCCUGUGUGAGAUACUUCACAGGUUCAGUCCCUGCUUGGGAGACAACACCCUGGACACCGGACUACCGUGGAUCUAUCCCUGAAGGUCCCACCUCCAGGAAGACUGAGGGAGGUGACCCCUCACUCUACCCGUGGGAGUCCCAGGAGGAUGUUAAGCCCCUCCUGACUCGGAAACUGUCUGGAAGCAGACUCCUGCCCCAGCUGUCUUCACAGCUCAGCGCUGUACUCUGGUUUCCCUGUCAGCCUCGUGUCAAGCAGAGUUCCCACGCCAUGACCUCUGCUUCCCGCUGCCUCUUAGACUGUGAACUCCUGAGGGCAGAAAAAUCUCUCAGGUCUCCGUAGCGUCUGCCAGUGCCUAAUGCAGAGGUUAUAAAAUUACUGUUGUUUAAGGUUUUUUUUGUUCUUGUUUUGUUUUGUUUUGUUUUGUUUUGUUUUGUUUUGAGGCAGAGUCUUGCUAUGUAGUUCAAGCUGGUCUUGAACUCACUAAGUACCCCAGGCUGACAUCCAACUGGUGACAGUCUUCCUGCCUCAGCCUCCUGAGUGUGUACAUUUAUAGUAACAUGGAGAAGGCAAACAAGGAUCAGUGUUUUUGUUUUAUGGUAUCUAGGACCUUUAUAUUGCGCUACAUUUACAGUCCUUUUAAAAUAUUUUUUCACUAUUUAAAUUUUGAGACAGGGCUUAGCUAAAUUUGCUACACAGGAGCCAGUUGCAGCCCUGAGAUCUGGGAAGAGAACCAAAAAGAAAGCCAACCCCUUCCUGUGAGCCAGUGGCGGUGUGGGCCAGGCUACCCCCUUCCUGUGGGACUGAGAGACAGGAGGUACCAAUCCCCAUUGUUGAUUUCCUGUUACCUUGUUUUGAAGUCCUGCAUCACUUUCACUGUUUUGUUUUCAUUGGCUUUAUUCUGUUUUAUUUUGUUUCAUUUUAUUCUGUUAAAAAUAGAAACAAAUAAAUUUGUUCAAUUGCCUGGGCAGGGGGUGGGGAUUUAGCUCAGCAGCACAGUGCCUGCCUUGCAAGCACAAGGUCCCGAGUUUGAUUCCUGGUACCAAAAAUAAAAAUAAAAAUAAAAAUAACAAAAUAA
ensembl:lincRNA